rnacentral:rRNA from 1 species
AUGCUUAACACAUGCAAGUCGAACGGAAACGAUGGAAGCUUGCCUCCAGGCGUCGAGUGGCGGACGGGUGAGUAAUGCUUGGGAAUCUGCCUAAUAGUGGGGGAAAACACGGGGAAACUCGUGCUAAUACCGCAUAAUCUCUACGGAGGAAAGGGGGCCUCUACAUGUAAGCUCUCGCUAAUAGAUGAGCCCAAGUCAGAUUAGCUUGUUGGUGAGGUAAAAGCUCACCAAGGCUACGAUCUGUAGCUGGUCUGAGAGGACGAUCAGCCACACUGGGACUGAGACACGGCCCAGACUCCUACGGGAGGCAGCAGUGGGGAAUAUUGCACAAUGGGCGCAAGCCUGAUGCAGCAAUACCGCGUGUGUGAAGAAGGCCUUAGGGUUGUAAAGCACUUUCAAUAGAGAAGAAAAGCUUAGAGUUAAUAACUCUGAGCAUUGACGUAACCUAUAGAAGAAGCACCGGCUAAAUCCGUGCCAGCAGCCGCGGUAAUACGGAUGGUGCGAGCGUUAAUCGGAAUUACUGGGCGUAAAGCGCGCGUAGGCUGUUUUAUAAGUCGGAUGUGAAAUCCCCGGGCUCAACCUGGGAACUGCAUCCGAAACUAUUUAACUAGAGUAUGGGAGAGGUAAGUAGAAUUUCCGGUGUAGCGGUGAAAUGCGUAGAUAUCGGAAGGAACACCAGUGG